UCCUUCUUCUUGAGCUUCAUGUGGUCUGU
rnacentral:piRNA from 1 species